GGUAUUUUCAGGAAUGCAGCCAGAUUGUUGACCAGAUUUGCCCCGAAGAACUCCUCCUCAGUCAUGGCCGGGAGAUUGAAGGCCAGGAACAGAACCGGAGAGGUGCGGAUUUGGACCGGCUCCGAGCCACGAAGUAGUCCAGCAUUUAGCAGCAUAAGUCUCAGCUUCUGUGGUGUUGUGCUGGUGAAAUAGAUGUCAAAGGAUUUAUUGGUGGCAACAAUGGCGUGGAAUAGAGAUACUCGCUUCUGACACGUGUAGCCAGCGCACCAGCCGUGAUCUUGCGGGCCUGUGACAAAAUAUUCAGACGAAGCUACCACUGCAUCUGUACCUUCUCCAACCGUGUGAUGGAUCACGUUGUCUUCGAUACUCAGUCCAUCUGUCCCGAAAACACCGAUAGCAGGAGCAAAGCCGUUGUGGAAAGCACAUCCCUUGAUUUAUAAAACACCAGAGAGUAUCGUGGGUCUGACAGGUCGUUCCAUCCCUCCUGCCCGGUGUGGUAGAACUGAACAUUUCUGAUCUGGGCUUUUCCUGUGACGCAAGUAUCAUCAGAAGUUUUUGUUACUUACAAUGUGCUGGAAAGGUGAAUGGGCCUUAUGGUUUUGUGUAGCCUAUAAUUUGUAGUAUUUGUAGUACUUGAUAGUAUUUCAAGAAUGAGGCCCAACAUAAGAAUUUUAUAACGUCUAUACCUCUGAAAUCAAAUCCUCCGCUGAAGAAGG